rnacentral:rRNA from 1 species
AUUGAACGCUGGCGGCAGGCCUAACACAUGCAAGUCGAACGGUAACAGGAAGCAGCUUGCUGCUUCGCUGACGAGUGGCGGACGGGUGAGUAAUGUCUGGGAAGCUGCCUGAUGGAGGGGGAUAACUACUGGAAACGGUAGCUAAUACCGCAUAAUGUCGCAAGCCCAAAGAGGGGGACCUUCGGGCCUCUUGCCAUCGGAUGUGCCCAGAUGGGAUUAGCCUGUUGGUGGGGUAACGGCUCACCAAGGCGACGAUCCCUAGCUGGUCUGAGAGGAUGACCAGCCACACUGGAACUGAGACACGGUCCAGACUCCUACGGGAGGCAGCAGUGGGGAAUAUUGCACAAUGGGCGCAAGCCUGAUGCAGCCAUGCCGCGUGUAUGAAGAAGGCCUUCGGGUUGUAAAGUACUUUCAGCGGGGAGGAAGGGAGUAAAGUUAAUACCUUUGCGCAUUGACGUUACCCGCAGAAGAAGCACCGGCUAACUCCGUG